GUGUUGUACGAAAGGAGAGAAAGUUAGCACUCCUCUUGAUAAGGACGGACAUUGCUUGUUCAUAAAGAAAAUUGGAAAGUAGAAAGACAUUACUAUAUAUU